rnacentral:rRNA from 1 species
CACGUAGGGGGCGAGCGUUGUCCGGAUUCAUUGGGCGUAAAGAGCUCGUAGGGGGCUCAGUAAGUCGGGUGUGAAACCCUCAGGCUCAACCUGGGGACGCCACUCGAUACUGCUGUGGCUAGAGUCCAGUAGGGGAGUGUGGAAUUCCCGGUGUAGCGGUGAAAUGCGCAGAUAUCGGGAGGAACACCAGCGGCGAAGGCGCCCACCUGGCCUGCUACUGACGCUGAAGCUCGAAAGCUAGGGGAGCAAACGGG